AUAACAUCCAUCAGAGGGGAAAGGCUAACUGAAUGAUGACCAGAUUGUAACGAUGACAUAAGCUGCUCCAUUUUGAGCAGUCCUGAAUCUAUGAAUGAAGCAGAACCACCAUCAAAAAUGAAGAUAGCUAAGUGCAACCUAGAUCAGCCAACUGUGAGCCAUGCUGCAGAAACACAUCAUGAUGGAAAGUUAUGAGUCAAGGAAGACAUGAUAUUCAUUAUUUGACAUACUACCAACACUUGAAGAUUUGGAAAUACAGAGAUGGAUUUCAGAAUGUAGCUGAAGCUCAAUGAAUGACAUUGGGUGACUAUUCAAAAUCAAUACAAUUAGUAAAAAUGAAAUAUUGAGAGAGAAAAGAGUUUUAGGAAUGUCCACAUUAAGAGAUGCUGGGAGGAUGAUAAAGAUGACUACAGUCAGACUAUGAGAAAGAGGCAAGAAAAGUUGGGAAGAACCUCAGAAGAAUGAAUUAAUGAAAUUUUGUGGAAAAUAGUAAAUGAUAAUAUUUCAAGAGG
rnacentral:lncRNA from 1 species